AAUAGAUACCCGGGUAGUCCACGCCGUAAACGAUGAGUGCUAAGUGUUAGAGGGUUUCCGCCCUUUAGUGCUGCAGCUAACGCAUUAAAGCACUCCGCCGUGGGGAGUACGGUCGCAAGACUGAAACUCAAAGGAAUUGACGGGGGCCCGCACAAGCGGUGGAGCAUGUGGUUUAAUUCGAAGCAACGCGAAGAACCUUACCAGGUCUUGACAUCCUCUGACAACUCUAGAGAUAGAGCGUUCCCCUUCGGGGGACAGAGUGACAGGUGGUGCAUGGUUGUCGUCAGCUCGUGUCGUGAGAUGUUGGGUUAAGUCCCGCAACGAGCGCAACCCUUGAUCUUAGUUGCCAGCAUUUAGUUGGGCACUCUAAAGUGACUGCCGGUGACAAACCGGAGGAAGGUGGGGAUGACGGUCAAAUCAUCAUGCCCCUUAUGACCUGGGCUACAUACGUGCUACAAUGGAUGGUACAAAGGGCUGCAAGACCGCGACGGUCAAGCCAAUCCCAUAAAAACCCAUUCUCAGUUCGGA
rnacentral:rRNA from 1 species